AUGCUCCUACACUCACACACACCACGCUCCUACAUUCACACACCACUCUCUUACACUCCCACACACCACGCUCCUACACUCACACACACCACGCUCCUACAUUCACACACACCACGCUCCUACACUCACACACACCACGCUCCUACACUCACACACACCACGCUCCUACAUUCACACACACCACGCUCCUACACUCACACACACCACGCUCCUACACUCACACACACCACGCUCCUACAUGCACACACCACUCUCUUACACUCCUACACACCAAGCUUUUACUCUCCCACACACAACGCUCCUACACUCACACACACCACGCUCCUACACUCACACACACCACGCUCCUACACUCACACGCACCACGCUCCUACACUCACAAACACCACGCUCCUACACUCACACACACCACGCUCCUACACUCACACACACCACGCUCCUACACUCACACACACCACGCUCCUACACUCACACACACCACGCUCUUACACUCACACACCCCACGCUCCUACACUCCCACUCACCACACUCCUACACUCCCACACACCACGCUCCUACACUCACCCACACCACGCUCCUACACUCACACACACCACACAGCACGCUCCUACACUCACACACACCACACUCUUACACUCACACACACCACGCUCCUACACUCACACACACCACACACCACGCUCCAAACACUCCCAUACACCACACUCCUACACUCCCAUACACCACACUCCUACACUCACACACACCACGCUCCUACACCCAUACACCACACUCCCAUACACCACAUUCCUACACUCACAAGCACCACGCCCUUACACUCACACACACCACGCUCCUACACUCACACACACACCACGCUCCUACACUCACACACACCACGCUCCUACACACACCACACUCUUACACUCCCACACACCACGCUCCUACACUCCCAUACACCACACUCCUACACUCACACACACCACGCUCUUACACUCCCACACACCAACACUCCCAUACACCACACUCCUACACUCCCACACACCUACACACCACGCUCUUACACUCCCACACACAACGCUCCUACACUCCCACACACCACGCUCCUACACUCACACACACCACGCUCCUACAUUCACACACACCAUGCUCCUACACUCACACACACCACGCUCCUACACUCACACACACCACGCUCCUACAUUCACACACACCAUGCUCCUACACUCACACACACCACGCUCCUACAUUCACACACACCAUGCUCCUACACUCACACACACCACGCUCCUACACUCACACACACCUCGCUCCUACACUCACACACACCACGCUCCUACACUCACACACACCACGCUCCUACACUCACACACACCACGCUCCUACAUGCACACAUCACUCUCUUACACUCCUACACACCAAGCUUUUACUCUCCCACACACCACGCUCCUACACUCACACACACCACGCUCCUACACUCACACACACCACGCUCCUACACUCACACGCACCAUGCUCCUACACUCACACACACCACGCUCCUACACUCACACACACCACGCUCCUACACUCACACACACCACGCUCCUACACUCCCACACACCACACUCCUACACUCCCACACACCACACUCCUACACUCCCAUACACAACACUCCUACACUCCCAUACACAACACUCCUACACUCCCACACACCACACUCCUACACUCCCAUACACCACACUCCUACACUCCCAUACACCACACUCCUACACUCCCAUACACCACACUCCUACACUCACACACACCAUGCUCCUACACUCACACACACCACACAGCACGCUCCUACACUCUCACAAACCACGCUCCUACACUCCCACACACCACGCUCCUACACUCCCAUACACCACACUCCUACACUCCCAUACACCACACUCCUACACUCACACACACCACGCUCCUACACUCACACACACCACACAGCACGCUCCUACACUCACACACACCACGCUCCUACACUCCCACACACCACGCUCCUGCACUCACACACACCACGCUCCUACAUUCACACACACCAUGCUCCUACACUCACACACACCACGCUCCUACACUCACACACACCACGCUCCUACAUUCACACACACCAUGCUCCUACACUCACACACACCACGCUCCUACAUUCACACACCAUGCUCCUACACUCACACACACCACGCUCCUACACUCACACACACCACGCUCCUACACUCACACACACCACGCUCCUACACUCACACACACCACGCUCCUACACUCACACACACCACGCUCCUACAUGCACACACCACUCUCUUACACUCCUACACACCAAGCUUUUACUCUCCCACACACCACGCUCCUACACUCACACACACCACGCUCCUACACUCACACACACCAUGCUCCUACACUCCCACACACCACACUCCUACACUCACACACACCACGCUCCUACAUGCACACACCACUCUCCUACACUCCCACUAA
rnacentral:lncRNA from 1 species